UUCCCAGACAUUCAGACCCAGCUGUCUGAAGCUGGCUGCUGGUGCACCGAUUCUCUCGUCUGCCUUUGUCCUUUCUCUUCUCCCUUCUUCUCUUCCUCUCCUCCUCCUCCGUCUCUCUUCUUCACCAUGCCUGGACUCUUUCAUCACUCCUCCAUCUGACAUGGUAGCAGAUCUUCACAGAUGUUUCAGGUGGACGGAGCGUCGGAGUGUUGCAGCCUUUUGUUUUGAUGCCCAGGUCUUCACCGGUUGGUCUGGUUCCACAGAGGCAGAUGUCCCACUCCUCUUCCCCAGCCACGGAGCCUCUUCCGGAGGUCCCGUUAUUUGAGAUGGACCAGGAUGAGGAUGAGGAGGAAGAUGUUCUCUCAAUGAAGAGCAGAGGUGGGUUUAUACAUGCUAUAGCGCCCCCUGCAGGCACUGACCCUGACACCUUCAUAUACAUGAACUUCAUGAAGACUCACUGCUGCUACGACGCCAUCCCUACCAGCUCCAAACUGGUCAUCUUUGACACAACGCUACAGGUGAAGAAGGCUUUCUUUGCUCUGGUGGCUAACGGCGUGAGGGCAGCGCCGCUGUGGGACAGCAAGCUUAAGUGUUUUGUGGGUAUGCUGACCAUCACUGACUUCAUCAACAUUCUCCAUCGUUACUACAAGUCUCCUCUGGUUCAGAUCUAUGAGCUGGAAGAGCACAAGAUAGAGACGUGGAGAGAGAUCUAUCUCCAGUACUCGUUUAACAGCCUGAUCAGCAUCACUCCCGACUCCAGUCUGUUUGACGCCAUCUACUCCCUGUUGAAGAAUAAGAUCCACCGGCUGCCGGUCAUCGACCCAGCGUCGGGAAACGUCCUCCACAUCCUCACUCACAAACGCAUCCUCAAGUUCCUCCACAUCUUCGGAUCCAUGAUUCCUAAACCCAGGUUUCUUCAAAAGCGGAUCAGUGAAGUGGGGAUCGGCACCUUUAGAGAGAUUGCGACAGUCCAGGAAUCAGCGUCUGUGUAUGACGCUCUGACCAUUUUUGUAGAGAGAAGAGUGUCAGCUCUGCCUGUGGUUAAUAAGCAAGGUAAAGUGGUGGCGCUGUACUCCAGGUUUGACGUCAUUAACCUCGCAGCCCAGAAAAACUACAACAACCUGAACAUGACAAUGCGGGAGGCCAUCACCUCCAGAGCCUGCUGGGUGGAAGGAGUCCUCAAGUGUUACCCUUAUGAAACUCUGGAGACCAUCAUUGACCGCAUUGCGAAGGCUGAGGUGCAUCGUUUGGUGUUGGUUGACAGGGACGAUGUGGUGAGAGGGAUUGUUUCUUUAUCUGACCUCCUUCAAGCCCUGGUCCUCACUCCUGCAGCCAAGCAAAUCUUCCAAAACCUCGUCUGAACUUCCCACCAAUCAGCCGUUCACCCCGUCCCGUACGCUCUACGAAGUCCGACAACCAACCCCUCCACACUUUCUCCCAAAUGUACCCCCUUCAUCAAUCAGCCAGCGUCUUCAUGCUGCAGUCCCUCCUCUGAAACCACCACGCCACCAGCACCUUCUUAGCCAACACACCUCAGAUAUUUAUGAGAGACCAUCCCUUCAAGACUGAAGAAAACAAGAUCAUGUAAAACAAGAUUAUGAGGUGGCAGAGCAGGAUUGUGGCGAAGAAGUCACAGGUUUCAGUCCCAGUCUAGAGGAAAACUAUAGGAAGGAAAAGUGAAAGUAGAAACACUCUGACCCUCCUCUCUGAGCUCCAGUAACGUGCUGUACAUGGAGCAUUUUAUUCCCAAGUGAUCGCCAGUAGAAGACAGCUGUUUGUGCUGGAAAGCUGCCAGUGUUGACCUGUAUCAUGCGUGUGUCUGCAAAACAGCGGCAAGCUGAUGAUGACUUUCAACCUGAGAAUCAAAUUUUGAGGUUUGAUUUUUGUCAAGCUGUGUUACUUACUAAAAAAAAGUGAUGUCACGUUCAAUGACUCGUACUUAACUCUGUGGUCUUAGAAUUAUUACACAUUAGCCAUUCAUAUAUAGAAAACACUUAAUUGUGGAAUUGAGAUGACGUUUUUUUGUAAAUGCACUUAUGCUCCAGUC